rnacentral:rRNA from 1 species
CGCUGGCGGCGUGCCUAACACAUGCAAGUCGAACGCGAAAGUUUCUUCGGAAAUGAGUAGAGUGGCGCACGGGUGAGUAACGCGUGGAUUAUCUACCUACUGGUACGGGACAACAGUUGGAAACGACUGCUAAUACCGUAUACGCUGGUAACGGGAAAGGGGGCCUCUUCUUGAAAGCUCUCGCCAGUAGAUGAGUCCGCGUUUCAUUAGCUAGACGGUGGGGUAACGGCCUACCGUGGCAACGAUGAAUAGCAGGCCUGAGAGGGUGGCCUGCCACACUGGGACUGGAACACGGCCCAGACUCCUACGGGAGGCAGCAGUGGGGAAUAUUGCGCAAUGGACGAAAGUCUGACGCAGCGACGCCGCGUGGAGGAUGAAGGUUUUCGGAUCGUAAACUCCUGUCAAGAGGGAAGAAACCUAUUAUGGAUAAUACUCAUAGUAAUUGACGGUACCUCUAGAGGAAGCACCGGCUAAUUCAGUGCCAGCAGCCGCGGUAAUACUGAAGGUGCAAGCGUUAAUCGGAAUCACUGGGCGUAAAGCGCUCGUAGGUGGCUUUGUAAGUCAGGUGUGAAAGCCCACGGCUCAACCGUGGAAUUGCAC